rnacentral:rRNA from 1 species
GAUCCUGGCUCAGGAUGAACGCUGGCGGCGUGCUUAACACAUGCAAGUCGAGCGAGGCACCUUGACGGAUUUCUUCGGAAUGAAGUUUUGGUGACUGAGCGGCGGACGGGUGAGUAACGCGUGGGUAACCUGCCUCAUACAGGGGGAUAACAGUUGGAAACGGCUGCUAAUACCGCAUAAGCGCACAGUACCGCAUGGUACGGUGUGAAAAACUCCGGUGGUAUGAGAUGGACCCGCGU